AAUCCGAAAGGUGUUCAACGGGGUUGAGGUCAGGGCUCUGUGCAGGCCAGUAUGCGUUUUGUACUUCCCUGUCAAAUCUUUACAGCUCUGAAGUUCGCAAGCAAUGUUAUUCAAUUCAAAAUGGUGGCUAGAUAUUUCAACUCUGUAUAUGGCAAACAUGAUUUUCUCAUUGAAUAUGUUUAAGGCUGCUUUGAGCCACCGCUCGUUCUAGCUAUGUUAACAGUCUAAUCACAUCACAUUAUUGUGUUGGCGAGACGGUAUGGUAUCGAGAAUCCUCAUCACCAAGUGAAGAAUCUUGUAGUGGUUGUCUUUUAAUGUGAAGGAUUAUGAAAGUCGUGUAGUGUCCCCCCCCCCCCUCUGGGAAAGGAGAUUAGCUAGCUUCUCUACCUUCACAACCAAGAGGAUACAAAGAGGAACAGUAAGUAAGUAAAGUCCAGUUUGACCCAAGGGAACAAUCCAGACUAAGAAUUCGCAAAAGGUGUCACGUGGUCUCCUAUCUCCUUCAUAGUGGCCCCGGCUGGACCGCACCGCAUAACCUCUUGGUCGAGCCAGACGAAUCAAGAGCUUCAGCCCGGGCCCGGCUUUGGCUUCCAGAAACCACAAACCUUCCUUCCUACCAUAACUGUCCUGCAGGACUCGACUCCCAGUCACUGAGAUUCCACCUGCAGGACUCGACUCCCAGUUACUGAGAUUCCACCUGCAGGACUCGACUCCCAGUUACUGAGAUU